rnacentral:rRNA from 1 species
GUGGGGAAUUUUUCGCAAUGGGGGAAACCCUGACGAAGCAACGCCGCGUGGACGAUGAAGAUCCUUGUGAUUGUAAAGUCCUGUCGGGAGGGACGAAGGCCUCCGGAUCGAAUACGUCCGGAGGUCAGACGGUACCUUCGGAGGAAGCCCCGGCCAACUUCGUGCCAGCAGCCGCGGUAAUACGAGGGGGGCAAGCGUUGUUCGGAAUCACUGGGCGUAAAGGGCGCGUAGGCGGUUGAGUUUGUCAAGUGUGAAAGCCCUCGGCUUAACUGAGGAAGUGCACUUGAAACGGCUCAACUUGAGUUGGGGAGAGGAGAGUGGAAUUCCCAGUGUAGCGGUGAAAUGCUUAGAUAUUGGGAGGAACACCGGUGGCGAAGGCGGCUCUCUGGACCCACACUGACGCUGAGGCGCGAGAGCUAGGGGAGCAAACGGGAUUAGAUACCCGAGUAGUCC